CUACGGGUUGCACCAGUGGGGAAUAUUGGACAAUGGGCGCAAGCCUGAUCCAGCCAUGCCGCGUGAGUGAUGAAGGCCCUAGGGUUGUAAAGCUCUUUCACCGGUGAAGAUAAUGACGGUAACCGGAGAAGAAGCCCCGGCUAACUUCGUGCCAGCAGCCGCGGUAAUACGAAGGAGGCUAGCGUUGUUCGGAUUUACUGGGCGUAAAGCGCACGUAGGCGGACUAUUAAGUCAGGGGUGAAAUCCCGGGGCUCAACCCCGGAACUGCCUUUGAUACUGGUAGUCUUGAGUUCGAGAGAGGUGAGUGGAAUUCCGAGUGUAGAGGUGAUAUUCGUAGAUAUUCGGAGGAACACCAGUGGCGAAGGCGGCUCACUGGCUCGAUACUGACGCUGAGGUGCGAAAGCGUGGGGAGCAAACAGGAUUAGAUACCCGCGUAGUC
rnacentral:rRNA from 1 species